rnacentral:rRNA from 1 species
UUGAACGCUGGCUGCAGGCCUAACACAUGCCAGUCGAACGGUAACAGGAAGAAGCUUGCUUCUUUGCUGACGAGUUGCGUACGGGUGAGUAAUGUCUGGGAAACUGCCUGAUGGAGGUGGAUAACUACUGGAAACGGUAGCUAAUACCUCAUAACGUCGCAAGACCAAAGAGGGGGACCUUCUGGCCUCUUGCCAUCGGAUUUGCCCAGAUGGGAUUAGCUAGUAGGUGGGGUAACGGCUCACCUAGGCGACGAUCCCUAGCUGGUCUGAGAGGAUGACCAGCCACACUGGAACUGAGACACGGUCCAGACUCCUACGGGAGGCAGCAGUGGGGAAUAUUGCACAAUGGGCGCAAGCCUGAUGCAGCCAUGCCGCGUGUAUGAAGAAGGCCUUCGGGUUGUAAAGUACUUUCAGCGGGGAGGAAGGGAGUAAAGUUAAUACCUUUACUCAUUGACGUUACCCGCAGAAGAAGCACCGGCUAACUCCGUG